rnacentral:misc_RNA from 1 species
GAAAUGCGAUAAGUAGUGUGAAUUGCAGAAUUCAGUGAAUCAUCGAAUCUUUGAACGCACAUUGCGCCCUUUGGUAUUCCUUAGGGCAUGCCUGUUCGAGCGUCAUCUAAACCUUCAAGCCCUGCUUGGUGUUGGGUGCCUGUCCCGCCUCCGCGCGCGGACUCACCUCAAAUCCAUUGGCGGCCCCCGCGUCGGCCACGAGCGCAGCAGGAACGCGAACUCGUGAGCCCGUCCGGGCGGCUCCCAGAAGCUACACCCACCCAGUUUGACCUCGGAUCAGGUAGGGAUACCCGCUGAACUUAAGC